ensembl:lncRNA
GUACCGGAGGAGGUCCAGAGAAGGGCAACGAGGCUGGUGAAGGGCUUGGAAAAUCAGCCCUGUGAGGAGAGGCUGGGGGGGCUGGGGCUGCUUAGUGUGGGGAAGAGGAGGCUGAGGGGAGACCUUAUUACUCUCUUCCAGUACCUGAAAGGUGCUUACAGUGAGAGCGGGGUAGGUCUCUUCUCACUGGUGACAGGUGACAGGAUGAGGGGAAAUGGCCUCCAGUUGCGCCAAGGCAAGUUUAGGUUGGACGUUAGGAAACACUUCUUUACAGAAAGGGUUGUUAAACACUGGAAUGGGCUCCCCAGGGAGGAGGCUGAGUCACCAUCCCUGCAUGUGUUUAAGAGCCGUUUGGAUGUGGUGCUCAGAGAGAUGAUGUAGCGGAGGGCUGUUAGAGUUGGGGUACUGUGGUUCGGAUGCGGUUGGACUUGAUGAUCUUUGAGGUCCUUUCCAACCUGAGUAAUUCUAUGAUUCUAUGGUUCUGGGGGAGUCAGCGUCCAUGGAGGUGUUCCAGAAGCGUGGGGAUGUGGCACUGAGGGACGCGGGCAGUGGGCAGCUGCGGGGGUGGACGGUGGCACUUGGUGAUCUUAGAGGUCUUUGCCAACCAGAGAGAUUCUGUCAUUCUGUGAAUGGAGCCAUUUAUUGCAACGAGAGGUAAUCAGCAGCAAACAACCACAAAGUAAAGCCUCGAGAACAUCACGGGAACACGGAAACACUUGACUGGGAUACUGAUGGAGCCACGGGCCCGGCAGCAUUCAGGUGGGGCCAGGAGGCUGGAUGUGUGGCCCAGUGCCUUCAGCAGCACCAACACGCCGGGUUCCUGCGGGGCUGCGUCCGGCACCGGGCCCCUCACUCUGCGCUGGCUGCAGGAGCCGCCGCCCUCCUGCUGGGGUGCCCUCACCCCUGUGACGUGUGAUGGCGUCAUAGAGGGUGUCAGAGAGGGGCCAUUGUGACGCAUGGGGUGUGGAGCAGAGCUCAGGCUGCGAGGCUCAGGCGGAGCUCAGUGCGACUUGGUGAGGUGAGCAGGGAGGAAGGGGCUGCCUGUUCCCCAGCGCUCGGGGGCCUGAGCUGCGAACUCAGCCUCGUCCCGCUUCUCCCAUAGGUUGGCACGUGGAGGAGAAAGCCCAGCACUGAUGGGACAGACACUCCGCAAGUGGUUGCCGUCAACGCGCACGGUGUGCGUGGAGACACAGGAGGCCGCCGGCUCGAGGGAGCCUGCAUGCGUGCUCUGUGGCCGAGUGGAUGAGGACUCGAGCAUCCUUGGGCACAAAAAAGAGCUCGGUGGAUUCUAUUUCCAUGAGUUUUGUGCGAUGUUUGCCAAUGAUCUCUGUGAAUAUGUGGAAGCUGGCAGAAUGGCACAAUUUUCCAGAAAAGACCUGAUACGCACAGUGAGGCAGGCAGAGCAGACGGUGAGCACCGGACCAGAACAGGGAGCUUUGUGCCAGGAGAGGCACGGCGAGCUCAGCCUGGUCCCAAGGAAGCAAUCCCAGCCCUUCCAACCAGCCCCAGGAGAAAGUCCUGCUCUUGCAGACGAGCCCUGUUCACCAGGCAGCUCUGCAGAGUGCCACCCAGCCCUGCCCGCACGCUGUGCCCUGCCCAGAGGUGCGGGGCCCGCUGCGUAGGCCC